rnacentral:rRNA from 1 species
AUUGAACGCUGGCGGCAUGCCUUACACAUGCAAGUCGAACGGUAACAGGUUAAGCUGACGAGUGGCGAACGGGUGAGUAAUGUAUCGGAACGUGCCCAGUCGUGGGGGAUAACUGCUCGAAAGAGCAGCUAAUACCGCAUACGACCUGAGGGUGAAAGCGGGGGAUCGCAAGACCUCGCGCGAUUGGAGCGGCCGAUAUCAGAUUAGGUAGUUGGUGAGGUAAAGGCUCACCAAGCCGACGAUCUGUAGCUGGUCUGAGAGGACGACCAGCCACACUGGGACUGAGACACGGCCCAGACUCCUACGGGAGGCAGCAGUGGGGAAUUUUGGACAAUGGGCGCAAGCCUGAUCCAGCCAUGCCGCGUGCGGGAAGAAGGCCUUCGGGUUGUAAACCGCUUUUGUCAGGGAAGAAAAGGUUCUGGCUAAUACCUGGGACUCAUGACGGUACCUGAAGAAUAAGCACCGGCUAGCUACGUG